rnacentral:lncRNA from 1 species
GAAACCUCCACCUGGACAGGUGAGAACAGGUGAGAAUAGAACAGGUGAGAACAGACAGGUGUGAAUAGAACAGGUGAGAAUAGAACAGGUGAGAUCAGACAGGUGUGACAGGUGUGAGGAAACCCCCGCGAUCGAAUCCGCCCCUGCCGCCACCGCGACGAUCCUCGAAUCCACCUGGGCAGGUGAGAACGGACAGGUGAGAACAGGUGAGAACAGGUGAGACAGGUGAGAACAGGUGAGAUCGGACAGGUGAGAUCAGACAGGUGUGAACAGACAGGUGUGAACAGGGGUAACAGGUGUGAACACCACAGGUGUGAACAGCUGUGAACAGCUGUACUCCAGGUGUAUUCUGUGUACCCCCAGGUGUCCCCAGGUGUGUUCCAGGUGUGUUUUGGGUGUCCCCAGGUGUAUCCAGCUGUACUCCAGGUGUCCCCAGGUGUGUCCAGGUGUACUUCAGCCCCCCCAGGUGUGUCCAGGUGUACUCCAAGAGUACCCCAGGUGUACUCCAGGUGUGUCCAGGCAUACUCCAGGUGUAUUUCAGCCCCCCCAGGUGUAUCCAGGUGUACUCCAGGUGUCCCCAGGUGUGCCCAGGUGUCCCCAGGUGUCCCCCAGGUGUAUCCAGGUGUACUCCAGGUGUAUUUCAGUCCCCCCAGGUGUACCCCAGGUGUAUCCAGGUGUACUCCAGGUGUAUUUAGGAUGUCCCCAGGUGUCCCCAGGUGUCCCCAGGUGUCCCCAGGUGUAUCCAGGUGUCCCCAGGUGUACCCCAGGUGUCCCCAGGUGUCCCCAGGUGUACUCCAGGUGUAUUUCAGCCCCCCCAGGUGUCCCCCAGGUGUAUCCAGGUAUGUUCCAGGUGUACUCACCCAUGUGGUUUCCUCCUCCUCCUCCUCCUCCUCCUCCU